GCCUUGGUGGCUCAGUCGGUUGAGCGCCCGACUUCAGCUCAGGUCAUGAUCUCAUACUCUGUGAGUUUGAGCCUCGCAUCAGGCU
rfam:Felis catus isolate Cinnamon breed Abyssinian chromosome C1, whole genome shotgun sequence.